GAGUUUUACACGAAAGAUUAAGUCAUGCGAGUAAGUAAGUUUUAUCAGCGAACAAAUACAUGUUCCUCGCUCAAACCUGUUUCCAGCUCCAAAUUAUUUUUUCGAGGGGUCAUCAGCGCGUGUAACAGCGUACGACAAGUGAUUCGCUAUAAAUCAACGUUCACAGUUUCACAGAGUCACAUUAAGGCCACUGGUGAUGUGUCAAGUAUUAUUUGUAAAUGAUCCUUAUAAUAGUCAGUUACAGUAACUGGCUCCGGUCAAAGGAUUAUUGGAGCACAAAAAUGAGCUGUAACUUGGAAAUAAGGUCAAAUAACUCACAGGUUACAAUAUACGUAUUACAUUGUACGAUGUAGUAAAUUAAACGUAAAGAGCAUCCUCGAUCCGAUGACGUAUCGUUUGUGUAUCUCGAGUCCAAGAAUAAUUGUUGAUUACGUAUAAAGAUAAUCAACACAUUCCUAAUCAGUGCUCGAUACGUGUACGUGUACAUAAUACAUCCUUUUCAAUGAAUAUGUAGUUAAUCGACAAACCUCGAUGCUCUCUACCAUUGUAAGAAAAGAAAAGUUACACGAAAUGAGUCUAUUUCUAAAUAGAAAUUUCGCUCGAUCAUCGUUGUAAAUAUGUAAUGAGAUUAUCGUGAAACCAUUGCGACCAAUGAACUUGUUUUAUUGUAACCGUACACUAUACAUAGAAAGCCACGUAUAUAUUUACACGUACCCAUUGUAUGUACAAUUGUGUUGUCGUGUGAAAAGACUGUUCUUACGUAACGAACUCGGCAAGCUCGACGUGACACUGACCUCACUCUAAAUCCAUAAGUGGCUGUUAAUUAUCGAUUGGCAACGAUUUCAACGAUUUCACCAAUGGAGGAUGAGAGCACAACCGAAGAAGGGUGAGAUGAAGGAGGAUGGGGAAAAGCCAAUACACAGAGUGGCCUGCUAAUCAGUCCGCUCCGAUAUCGCAAUAUGUGGGAUACGCUCGGUUGAUUUUCAACACGACGAGUUUACCCUAACGUAAUUAAUGUCCGUCGUACAAUGUGACGUGUAACGACAAAUUCGAACCACGUCGCUAUUCAUAGAAAGAGAGAAGAGAGAGAGAGAGAGAGAGAGAAAGAGAGGAAUGAGAGGAGAAGAGAGUAGGAAAAAAAAAGAUUACCGGCGAUCAUGUGCACGGUCUACAAAGUCAACGCGAUUCCAUUCACUCAUCGUACUUCCAUGUCCCGUGAACGAGACGAACGGCUUGCCUUCCCAUAACGGUCUAGAUGAAUUUAUAACUAAAUGAUGCAUCAGACACACAAAUACAACGAAUACAUCGUGCCCGUUUUGUAAUGGUCUAGAGCUAGCAGAUCUUUAAUUGCUGGCUCGUAGACAGAAUGUGACCCGAUUGUGUGCGUUACAGCGACCUUUCGAGGCGCCGCGGUUGAUUAUAGGCCGCUCAAAAUAAUUAAUCGAUCGUUUACUUUGAUUAUAUCAUUCAGAUAUAUUCGUCUGGAGAACUUUGAUGUAUCUUAAAUAUCAGAACUGAAUUUAAGCAAUUUGACAGAUAUCACCUUGCCAUUCAAUUUUUUCUUAACGAAUAGCAUUUAAAUUAUACUUCAAAAUUAUCCGACACUUCGGAUUUUAUUUUCAGAUGUAUCUUAAGCGCAGGGAAAAAAUGUCCUGUAUUCGAACGAAAGGAUAUUGUUAGCAAAAGCUCAAUAGUCAUACGAUUUUAAGAGUGUCUCAAAACAUAUACUGUUCGCUUCAUUUAAGCAACAGUGGAAGAUUACUUCGAGCAAUGCAACCGAACACGAGGCGGAUAGGCGAGAACGGUGUAGGAUACACGUUCGUUUCAGAAGCGAGCUGUGUAUCAUCAUCAUCAUGCGCGGUCGAGUGGAUCAUUUUUCAUUUAUGCGCGCCGGAUAAUGUGUAUCAUUGAAUAUGUCACUAAUUGCUCGACAGGAGGAUAAACAUUUUUUGCGGAGAUAAAUUAAACGGUCGCGACGCUGGACAAGAUAAUUAAGUAUUACGGUAUGGUGUUACGUAUGUGAUAAUAAUCUCGCCACAUGUCGACACACUCUUUUCCUGACCCGACCCAUCGGUUCUUUCUCUCUGUCCUUCUCUCGUAGCCGAAGAACGUAAGGGCACGAUCAGAGGAAACGACGACGACAACAGCGGCGGUCAGCCUCCAGUCAAGAGAAGGAAGGGAGAAAACACGUCGGAUAAGAAAGAAUCUGUGGUAAGGACAAUCACCCGGGAGAGGUCGAACGAUCCCUGUAUGUUGCGAGACGACGAAAAAGUCCAAAAGGAUUUCCCCGCGGCGCAACCAGGAAUUUGAAAAAGAAAACCAUCGACGCGUGCAUUCCCGAUUCAGAGGAUUUUUCAAAAGCUGGCAACGCACGUUACACCGAACCUCCGAACCAUGUGCUUUUGUGUUUAUGACGAAGAAAUUUUAUACGCUCAAAUUAACCUGCGGAUUUCGUCCGUCUCGUGCACGAUGUCUAGCGUUUUGUAUGUUCUCGAUAACAAAAACUAAAUUUUUCCAAUUGUUUAAAGCUCGCUUAAAGAGACGAGAAAAAAGUGACGUUUGACUAAUCUUUAAAACCGUAAAGCGAAGCAGCGUGUAGAAACUAAUUAGCAUUCUAUCA